GAAAAGGUAGGUUAGUUAAAUCACUGAAUUGUGGUUUCAGAGACGUCAUAAGACCCUUUUUC
rnacentral:tRNA from 2 species